UACGUAGGGGGCAAGCGUUGUCCGGAAUCAUUGGGCGUAAAGAGCGUGUAGGCGGCCAGAUAAGUCCGCUGUGAAAACUCGAGGCUCAACUUCGAGCUGUCGGUGGAAACUAUUUGGCUAGAGUCCGGAAGAGGAGAGUGGAAUUCCUGGUGUAGCGGUGAAAUGCGCAGAUAUCAGGAGGGACACCGGUGGCGAAGGCGGAUCUCUGGGCCGAUACUGACGCUGAGGAGCGAAAGCGUGGGGAGCGAACAGG
rnacentral:rRNA from 1 species